GGAAAGGCCUGCAGCUUGCUGCGGGUACUCGAGUGGCGAACGGGUGAGUAACGGGUGGGUGAUCUGCCUUGCACUUCGGGAUAAGCUUGGGAAACUGGGUCUAAUACCGGAUAGGACAGCUGUUUAGUGUCAGUUGUGGAAAGUUUUUUCGGUGCAAGAUGAGCUCGCGGCCUAUCAGCUUGUUGGUGGGGUAAUGGCCUACCAAGGCGUCGACGGGUAGCCGGCCUGAGAGGGUGUACGGCCACAUUGGGACUGAGAUACGGCCCAGACUCCUACGGGAGGCAGCAGUGGGGAAUCAUUGCACAAUGGGCGGAAGCCUGAUGCAGCGACGCCGCGUGGGGGAUGAAGGCCUUCGGGUUGUAAACUCCUUUUGACAGGGACGAGGCGUAAGUGACGGUACCUGUAUAAGAAGCACCGGCUAACUACGUGCCAGCACCGCGGUAAUACGUAGGGUGCGAGCGUUGUCCGGAAUUACUGGGCGUAAAGAGCUCGUAGGUGGUUUGUCGCGUCGUCUGUGAAAUUCCGGGGCUUAACUCCGGGCGUGCAGGCGACCCGGGCUGACUUGAGUGCUGUAGGGGAGACUGGAAUUCCUGGUGUAGCGGUGAAAUGCGCAGAUAUCAGGAGGAACACCGAUGGCGAAGGCAGGUCUCUGGCAGUAACUGACGCUGAGGAGCGAAAGCAUGGUAGCGAACAGGAUUAGAUACCCUGGUAGUCCAUGCCUCCACGUGGCGCUAGUUAGGGGCUUCCACGUCCUUCUGUCCGUAGCUACGCAGUUAAGCGCC
rnacentral:rRNA from 1 species